rnacentral:rRNA from 1 species
CCUACGGGUAGCAGCAGUGAGGAAUAUUGGUCAAUGGACGCAAGUCUGAACCAGCCAUGCCGCGUGCAGGAAGACGGCUCUAUGAGUUGUAAACUGCUUUUGUGCGGGGGUAAACGCAGAUACGCGUAUCUGUCUGAAAGUAUCGUACGAAUAAGGAUCGGCUAACUCCGUGCCAGCAGCCGCGGUAAUACGGAGGAUUCAAGCGUUAUCCGGAUUUAUUGGGUUUAAAGGGUGCGUAGGCGGUCGGAUAAGUUAGCGGUGAAAUCCCGAGGCUCAACUUCGGAAUUGCCUCUGAUACUGUUCGGCUAGAGAGUAGUGACGGUAGGCGGAAUGUAUGGUGUAGCGGUGAAAUGCUUAGAGAUCAUACAGAACACCGAUUGCGAAGGCAGCAUACCAAGCUACUUCUGACGUUGAGGCACGAAAGCGUGGGGAGCAAACAGGAUUAGAUACCCGAGUAGUC